rnacentral:rRNA from 1 species
UACGUAGGGGGCGAGCGUUGUCCGGAUUUAUUGGGCGUAAAGAGCGUGUAGGCGGCUUUACAGGUCCGUUGUGAAAACUCGAGGCUCAACCUCGAGACGCCGGUGGAAACCGUAAGGCUAGAGUCCGGAAGAGGAGAGUGGAAUUCCUGGUGUAGCGGUGAAAUGCGCAGAUAUCAGGAGGAACACCCGUGGCGAAAGCGGCUCUCUGGGACGGUACUGACGCUGAGACGCGAAAGCGUGGGGGAGCAAACAGG